CCUACGGGCGGCAGCAGUGAGGAAUAUUGGUCAAUGGGCGAGAGCCUGAACCAGCCAAGUCGCGUGAGGGAGUACUGCCCUAUGGGUUGUAAACCUCUUUUGUCGGGGAGCAAAAGCCGGACGUGUCCGGCUGUUAGAGUACCCGAAGAAAAAGCAUCGGCUAACUCCGUGCCAGCAGCCGCGGUAAUACGGAGGAUGCGAGCGUUAUCCGGAUUUAUUGGGUUUAAAGGGUGCGCAGGCGGAUUUUUAAGUCAGCGGUCAACUCGUGGGGCUCAACCCCAUCCAGCCGUUGAAACUGGGGAUCUAGAGUGUGCGAGAGGUAUGCGGAAUGCGUGGUGUAGCGGUGAAAUGCAUAGAGAUCACGCAGAACCCCGAUUGCGAAGGCAGCAUACCGGCGCCCGACUGACGCGGAGGCACGAAAGCGUGGGUAUCGAACAGGAUGAGAUACCCCAGUAGUC
rnacentral:rRNA from 1 species